rnacentral:misc_RNA from 1 species
UCCGGUUUAACACCGGCAGUCCCGCUAGAGUGCCCGGCAUGACCCGGUAGCAACUAGAGGCAGGGGUUUCGCUCGUUAGAGGACUUAACCCGACACUUCACAGCACGAGCUGACGACAGCCAUGCAGCACCUGUGCACGUUCCGCCCUUGCGGGUGUUAUCCCCUUUUCAGGGGACUAAUCCGUGCAUGUCAAGCCCAGGAUAAGGUUCUUCGCGUUGCGUCGAAUUGAGCCACAUGCUCCACCGCUUGUGUGAGCCCCCGUCAAUUCCUUUGAGUUUUAGUCUUGCGACCGUACUCCCCAGGCGGUGCACUCAUCGGUUUUCCUUCGGCACUGGAGGCGUCAGAGCCCCCAAGGCCACGUGCACAUCGUUUAGGGCGUGGACUAC